rnacentral:sRNA from 2 species
UGAAAACUAAAGCCGAAUCCCUCGGAGAGCAAAGGCUCUCCAGGGGGCCGGGGAACCACUCGCUUCUGGGGUUUACCCCUCGGGAGAGUCUGGAACUUCUUAAGCCGCACUGAGCGGUGGGGAAGGAUCGGAUGGACUGAGGGGAGGAGCUUCCGUUUCCUCACUCGACAGCUAACCCGGUAGGCAUGACAGGAAGAUUUG